rnacentral:rRNA from 1 species
UACGUAGGAUCCAAGCGUUGUCCGGAUUUACUGGGUGUAAAGGGUGCGCAGGCGGACUUGUUAGUCAGAGGUGAAAUCUCACUGCUCAACAGUGAAACUGCCUUUGAUACUGCAGGUCUUGAAUCCAGAAGAGAGUUGUGGAAUUCCGAGUGUAGCAGUGAAAUGUGUAGAUAUUCGGAAGAACACCAGCGGCGAAGGCAGCAACUUGGUCUGGCAUUGACGCUCAGGCACGAAAGCAUGGGGAUCAAACAGG